rnacentral:rRNA from 1 species
GGACUACAGGGGUUUCUAAUCCUGUUCGCUCCCCACGCUUUCGCUCCUCAGCGUCAGGAAAGGCCCAGAGAACCGCCUUCGCCACUGGUGUUCCUCCUGAUAUCUGCGCAUUCCACCGCUCCACCAGGAAUUCCAUUCUCCCCUACCUUCCUCAAGUCAACCCGUAUCGAAAGCACGCUCAGGGUUAAGCCCCAAGAUUACACUUCCGACGCGAUCAACCACCUACGAGCCCUUUACGCCCAAUAAAUCCGGACAACGCUCGCACCCUACGUAUUACCGCGGCUGCUGGCAC